rnacentral:rRNA from 1 species
UACGGAGGGUGCGAGCGUUGUCCGGAAUCACUGGGCGUAAAGGGCGCGUAGGCGGCGCGGAUAGUCGGCGGUGAAAGCCCGGAGCUCAACUCCGGGUCGGCCGUCGAUACUUCCGGGCUUGAGCACUGUAGAGGCAGAUGGAAUUCCGGGUGUAGCGGUGGAAUGCGUAGAGAUCCGGAAGAACACCGGUGGCGAAGGCGGCGAUCUGGGUAGAUACUGACGCUGAGGUGCGAAAGCGUGGGGAGCAAACAGG